CCCUAGCAACCGAGUAACAAAUCACAUAUCUCUGCACCAGAAAAUAGUACUGACUUCCGGGUUGAUUUAUUUCACUCAGGAUGGCAAGGACACUUCAUUACUAUCACUAUGGUAACUGCCUAGCAACCAGAUGGGGUUACCCUAGCAACCGAGUAACAAAUCACAUAUCUCUGCAUCAGAAAAACGUAGAGACUUCCGGGUUGACUUAUUUCAAUCAGGAUGGCAAGGACACUUGAUUACUAUCACUAUGAUUACUGCCUAGCAACCAGAUGGGGUUACCCUAGCAACCGAGUAACAAAUCACAUAUCUCUGCACCAGAAAAUAGUACUGACUUCCGGGUUGAUUUAUUUCACUCAGGAUGGCAAGGACACUUCAUUACUAUCACUAUGGUAACUGCCUAGCAACCAGAUGGGGUUACCCUAGCAACCGAGUAACAAAUCACAUAUCUCUGCAUCAGAAAAACGUAGAGACUUCCGGGUUGACUUAUUUCAAUCAGGAUGGCAAGGACACUUGAUUACUAUCACUAUGAUUACUGCCUAGCAACCAGAUGGGGUUACCCUAGCAACCGAGUAACAAAUCACAUAUCUCUGCACCAGAAAAUAGUACUGACUUCCGGGUU